CGUUUCUUCUCCGUUCCGCUACUCACCGAUUUAUAUCUCUCGGCUCCUCCAUUCCUCCCCCUCCUCCUCCUCUCUAAUUCCAGUCAAUUCCCAAUCCUGGAGACUGAGCGGCACAAAAGGAAUGGCACGGUAAGUGGAUUCCAUCUCAGAUCUCCUCUUCUCCUCCUUGCAGCUACCGAGUGAUCUCUGGACGCAGCGGUUUAUCGAUCUCUUCCUGGCCUUGUUGGUCCCUCUUUCAUGGUGGAUUAGAUCGAUUGCUCCUUUCUGUUUGAGGUUACAAAGCGGGAAUCGGUCGAUAAACCUCUGCAUCCGGACUUCAGUGUACAUCCAUCCAUCAGACCUCUCGUUCCCUCACUUCGCUUUGGUUUUUCCCUUAAAUUUCUGAGAUAGAUGAUUGGGGACUAAGGAAGUAGUUCGAGUGAGCUGUUAGCGCUGUUUGAUGUGAUCCAUUUGAUGCAGAUCGUGAUUGAUUUUUGCAGAUAUGAUGAAGUGAAAGCCAAGCCAUGAGACUGAUUGUGGACCACUUCUACAGCAUUUUAUGUUGUACUACUUCAAUACUUGUUCGACUGUUCGAUGCAGUGGAUUGAUUUCUUAGCAGUGAUUACGGGUCCUCCCUGAAACAGUCAUUUGUUCUGUGACAUCAAUGCAGCAGACAUGUUAAAAGGGAAGAGACUCAGGGAUGAAAAAGGUGAUGCAUCCCAGACGCCAUUAAUGUUUGUCCUCAUCUAGCUUUAGCGGGUCUAUUAGACGUAAGUUAUCUGAAAGAAAUCUGAUCCGCUAUCAUCCCUUGUCAAGAAGGGUGAGAAGACCGUCAAACGUUUAUUGGAUAUUUAUUUAUCUCGGCCUAAUGCUGGGCUCAAACCCAACUCCUUUGUGAGCAGAACGACUCGGGCUCAAACAACCAACUACAGUCUGCUAAUGUGACGCUACAUGAGUUGGGCUAAAGCUUCGCACGUUGCGGAACAUAGCUAUGCCUUUGUGUCGUCUGGGGCCAACGGCGGAGGUUGCCGCGGGUGAGGAGCUUCCUGUCGUCUUGGGUGGUGAUGUCAGACAUGACGAUGACUCCGUGGAUUACACCACCACGAUAAAUUUGAUUUAAUCCCUUUCGCCCCUUUGAUGCUCUUUGAUUGAUUCCAGUGGCUUAUCUUAUGGUGGAGCAGUUUCCGAACAAGCUGGUAGAGUAUUGCCUCCGCAAGUAGCGGUCUCCACUUCACUGACUAGUGACUGCAUG